ACAGAGUUUUGCUCUGUUUUCCAGGCUUGGAGUUCUGUGCUUUGAGCUUGGCUCACUGCAGCCUCGACCUCCUGGGAUCAAGAGAUUCUCCCACCUCAGUCUCCUGAGUAGCUGGGACUACAGAAGAGAAACUGAGGCACGAGUGUUGUGUGGUCAAGAUCAUACAGCUAAUAGGUGGCAGUCUGACUCCAAGUCUGUGCUUUUCACUGCUGUGCUAUGCCACUAAAGGCUAACAUCAUCCUGUUUGCAAAAUGGACAGAUGCUGUUUAUUUUUGCAAGUAGUCAACUAAGCUAAUGUGAGUGCCAGCUUCUUCUUUGAUGUUUCAGCUUUAAGAAAGUUGCAUUAAUGGAGGGCAAUUAUGGUAAUUUGAAUUAGAAAUGGAAUUAUGGUAAUUGAAAACUUCUGCAGUGACAGGUAUUUGCGAGAACCUGGUGUUCUGGUGCAGUUCAGAACUGCUAUUAAGCCCAUGGUAAUUAGCAUUUUCGCCCCUGAAAUGGUUGAAAGAAUACGGGAACAUAAAACAAAAUUUGACAGUAUGAGAAGGGAACUGGCAACAAUAUCAAAACCUACAGUCAACACAAAGAAACACAAACACACGAAUGGUCUUAGACUUUUUAAAAAUAGGGAAUCAGAAGAAAAUCACAGCUUUGUGUAGGCCACUGGGGAGGGAAGCAUUUGUGUUAUGGGUCUGCAAUAUAGAGCCAUUUGCAACAGAAAGAUGAAGCAAAGAAAGCCAUUCUUGUUUUCUGGCUUCAUUUCCAAAUCAAUUGUUGCAGAGAGGUCCAUAGGUCCCCACAACACAAAGCAUUAGAAAGCUACAACAAAAUUAGAUGAAUCACUCCACAAUUAUCAUGUAGUCAUUCAACAAAUGUUUGUUGAUUGCCUACUAUGUGCUAGGCAAUUUGUCAGGUGCUAGUGAUGUGAUGAAGACUAGGUUCCUGCCCUCACAGAGAUGCUGCAGUAGAGUAGAGUAAGAAUUGAGAUCAAUUUGGCCCACCUUAAAGAUAGGAAUAUAUCCUGUUACGUCUAAAGCUUAUACUCUUAGCCUCUCUCAUACUAUAAAAGAUGCUAUUUUUGCUCUUAAUCUCUUAAGCUUUCUUUUUGUCUUUGUGAUUUCUCCUGAGGUUUCUAAGGAUAGUCAAAGAAGAGAGUGUCUAUAAAUUAGUAUAUGCUUGGCUGCAUAUAACAGAAUACCUGACUAAAAAUAUAUAUGCGACUUAACUAAUAUCACAUAAUAAGUAAGAAAUUCUAGAGUUAGUAUAGCAGGUCAAUGGUAUCACUAACAACUAGGCUCCUACUGUUUCUGACUGCUAUUUUCUCUACGGUGGCACUUUCUCUAGUGGUGACAAAAUGGCUGUCAAAGCUUUAAGUUAAUGUCUUUACACAACAAUGUUUUAAACAAAACAAAACAAAACAAAACAAGAGGUGAAAGGAAAAAAUACCUUUCCCCUCAUUUCUAGGGGGGAUAUUUUCCCCCAAAAUCACUAGGAGACUUCUCCUUAUAUUUGUGGAAACUGCGUUAUAUGUCUACUCUUAGAACUUUAAUUGGUGAACUGGAAUGGGAUUGGCAUGACUGGUUUAGAUAAAUUGUUACUCACUGCCUGUGGCUGAGCACAUUCCCUUUCUAUGAAAAUUGGGCUUUACUUAGCAGGAAAAGGGGGAAAUGGCUUUGGUUACACAGGCAUCUCUGUGCAGUCAGAGAUGAUGGAAAAGUCUGUAGGUACUCUCCUUCGAAUUAUACAUGUGUAAUUUUUCCUCUUGGGUCAAAUAAUUUUUGAAACAUCUCUCUGUUAAAAUGCAAAUGCUUCUGGGAAAGGCAUCACAUCACGUUCCUAAUGCCUUAGUCUGUUGGAUACACUUUAAUAAGAGAAAAUGGGACACUAUCACUGGGAAUCUGCAAGUUUAAGAUGAGGUUAACAAAAUAGGAAAACCAUGUAGAAAUGUGGGAUUGGGAGUGCUGAGGACAUAUUUUCCCUAUAUAAUAAUUUUACUAAACUUUUGUGUAAAACUUGAUUACUCCAAGCGAGGUCAUGUAUAUUGACACCUUUUAUCUGUAGAGUGCUUUAUCCUGUGGGCAUUUCAUUCCUGCAACAGUCAGGUGAGAUAAGGCCUCCCUUUACAAGUGAGGAAGACAAGGUACAGAGAGUUUAAAUAACAUGCGGAUUGAACCUGCUCAGGUCUGAUGUCAAAAUUCACCUUUUUUUUUUUUUAAUUGCCCCACAUUUCUUCUCAAAGACCAGCAUAGAAGGAAAGUCAUUUAAAUCUGAGGAUAUGGUUCAUUAGAGUUUUCUGUCUGUUGUGAAUUUCUUUGUUAUUCAACGCUAAUUUCUAUAUAACAUACCUCUAUCCCAGCCAGAGUACAAACACAUUGGGGAAAAAAUUUUAAACUUUAUCGAAUAUCUUAGAUUAAAUAACACUAGGUUCUUUUGAUAAGAUAUUAGGUAAUUAAUAUUCUGACUCUAGGUGAUGCCGUGAUUGCUGUUCUACAAUGAUUUAUUCCAUAUGAACUGUGGGUAGGAGAUUUUACAUUGAGCAGAGUUGUUUCAAUAUAGACAGAGGAAAGAAAUAGUGAUCUAUAACCCUAGCAGAAACUGUUGUUUUGUAAACGAGCCUAAAUGGCCAAGUAAAGAUUUGUGUUAUUGUUUUAAUGGGAGGAAAUGAUGAAAAAUAGAGUACAAUUCCGAUGUGCUCAAAUGAGAACCAUGUCCUAUUAAGUUGGCAAGUGCAAGUAUGUCUCUUUUCCUGUCACUCUCAGGCAAUCUAUGUUUGUGAAAUGUGUCGUAUAGACUCUAGUUCAGCAGAGGGUAAUUGACCAAGUCAACUUCGCCAGUCGGUGCUUGUCAUUACCAGCUAUAAUUCCAUGUCCCCUGUGAGGAAUCUGAGGCACACUUUAGUUACUGGAGUCCCUCUUUAAGAGAAAAAAUGUCUUCUGGCUGUUGAACGUUAACUCAUGUUUCAGAUGUGAUUGAAACAACGCAGUAGUCCAUUUCAGAGAGCAGGGACACUGGUUCUAUUGAUAAUCUGAUUUCCUUAUCCUGAUGAUGUAUGUUAGAUACAUGAGUUUGUGUGUAUUUGACAGCCCCUGGUGAUAAAGGACUGUAAGCAAAAGGAGAAUCUGUGUGUUAACUGUUUCUACUCAGUUUCUCAUACUAUUUAACAAGCAAACAUACAAAAAGGCAAACCUUCCCUCAGUAGUUUAGAAAGGCUACUUAUUUUCUUUAUAAGUAGAAAGUGGAAUGAAACAGCUCAUUGUACUGGAAACAAAAUCCUAUUUGGGACUAUGAAAGAACAAUUUGACAAUUAUCUCCCUAGUUCUAAGGUCUGAGGGAGAGAAAUGACAACAUUUUAUUAUAAAGCACUUUUAAUUGAAGUAAUUAGAAGCAAGAAUGCUUGUUCAGGCUGAAAGAUUGUCAGAAGGGAAAUAGAUUUCUGGUCAAGUUUGCUGAUUUUGGAGGCUCUUGAUGAACUUUUGUGAUAAUAAUUAACAUAAUACUUCUGAGGCAUUUUUAGCCUUACCAAAAAUUAUUUUUCUCUGCCUCAUUCUUCUUUCAGAUGAAAUAAUAAUGUUUAGCACUUAGCUGGCAUCUUUCAUUCAGAUGGGUCCCCUGGUUCUUAAACAAUUUUUCUCUCUCUACAUGUGUGAAUAUGUGUCUACACAGAGUCAUUUUAGCAAUUGCCAAAAUUUUCAGCAAUCCCAAUGGGUAGCACGUUGCAGCUGUUCAGUAUUAUCCAGCAAAGCUACAGUGUUUGGGGGAAAGGAGGUAU